rnacentral:lncRNA from 1 species
AUGUGUACUCGAGGCCGUAACGGCAAUGCUCUGGAAUGCCGAACGAAGACCAAGCACAUGCACGUGGAGUACAAGUGCUCUGUGGCUCAGAAUUUGUGGUCUGGGCACCACCGGGUGGAGAUCCCGUAUUUCUGGGAGCUGGAUGCCAUUUUCUGUGGGGAUGCCUCGGUGGCCCUGAAGCGGGUCUUCAGAAAUAUUGAGCUUGCCAUCGCUCCAGGUGGGAGCAGCUGCAGAUCCGUGUCGAGCUCCGUGCCUGCCCCUCCCGUGGAAAUUUUCACAGGCGACCUUGGAACCAUCAAUCCAGGAGCUCUUCGGGACAAUGGUGCUGGAGCUGCCAGUGAUGGUCCCUUGAACCCCGAUAUUGGCUUGGGGAACCAGGAAGAGGUCGAUGAUGCAAAGG